AAAGCAUAAUGGAUCAGGUAGAACGGAAAAGUUUUACCGGGCUCUUAUGAGCAGCAGGAUUAUAAACCUGUGGGACCGUG
rnacentral:ncRNA from 17 species